ACGAACGCUGGCGGCGCGCCUAAUACAUGCAAGUCGAGCGAGGAGACGUAGCAAUACGUUUGUAAAGCGGCGACGGGUGAGGAAUACAUGGGUAACCUACCCUCGAGUGUGGAAUAACUAGCCGAAAGGUUAGCUAAUACCGCAUACGACUCCUGGUCUGCGGAUCGGGAGAGAAAGCGAUACCGUGGGUAUCGCGCUCUUGGAUGGGCUCAUGUCCUAUCAAGCUUGUUGGUGAGGUAACGGCUCACCAAGGCUUCGAACGGGUAGCUGGUCUGAGAGGACGAUCAGCCACACUGGCACUGCGACACGGGCCAGACUCCUACGGGAGGCAGCAGUAAGGAAUAUUGCGCAAUGGGCGACAGCUCUGACGCAGCGACGCCGCGUGGGGAUGAAGGUCUUCGGAUUGUAAACCCCUUUCGGCAGGGAAGAUGGAACGGGCAACCGUUCGGACGGUACCUGCAGAAGCAGCCACGGCUAACUUCGUGCCAGCAGCCGCGGUAAUACGAAGGUGGCAAGCGUUGUUCGGAUUUACCUGGGCGUACAGGGAGCGUAAGGCGGUUGGGUAAGCCCUUCGUGAAAUCUCCGGGCCCAACCGGAAAGUUGCGGAGGGGACUGCUCGGCUAGAGGAUGGGAGAGGAGCGCGGAAUUCCCGGUGUAGCGGUGAAAUGCGUAGAGAUCGGGAGGAAGGCCGGUGGCGAAGGCGGCGCUCUGGAACAUUUCUGACGCUGAGGCUCGAAAGCGUGGGAGCAAACAGGAUUAGAUACCCUGGUAGUCCAGCGCCAUUAAAACGAUGGAUACUAAGUUGUCGGCGGGUUACCGCCGGUGCCGCAGCUAACGCAGUAAGUAUCCCCGCCUGGGAAGUACGGCCGCAAGGUUGAAACUCAAAGGAAUUGACGGGGGCCCGCACAAGCGGUGGAGCAUGUGGUUUAAUUCGACGCAACGCGAAGACCUUACCCAGGCCUGACAUGGCAGGUAGUAUGGAAGGGUGAAAGCUCCUAACGAGGGGUAGCAAUACCAGCCUGCUUCAGGUGCUUGCAUGGCUGUCGUCAGCUCGUGCCUGUGGGUGUUGGGUUAAGUCCCAGCAACGAGGCGCAACCCCUGUCUUCAGUUACCGGAACGGGUCAUGCCGGGAACUCUGGAGAGACUGGCCCAGGAAGAACGGGGAGGAAGGUGGGAUGAUGACGUAAAGUCAGCAUGGCCUUUAUGCCUGGGGCAACCACCGUGCUACAAUGGCCGGUACAAAAGCGCUGCAAAACUCGUAGGGGGAGCCAAUCGCAACAAAAACCGGCCCUCAGUUCAGAUUGAGCGUCUGCAACUCGACCUCAUGAAGGCGGAAUCGCCUAGUAAUCCCGGAUCAGCACGCCGGGGGUGAAUACGUUCCCGGGCCUUGUACACACCGCCCCGCAUCACACCACGAAGAGUUUGUUGUACCUGAAGUCGUUGGCGCACAACCGCAAGGGGGGCAGACCCCACGGUAUGACCGAUGAUUGGGGGU
rnacentral:rRNA from 1 species